GCCCAACAAAAGCUUGGAUUUCUUCAUUUUUGGUUUGAAUUUUCCCAAGACCCUACAUAUUUAGUUACUUUACUAUUGUCCAGAACAUGGAUGGAGCAUUUCAUUUUACUAUUGUUUUUGCCUCCUUUGAGGGCAAUGUUUGAAUAAAGGCCUCAGGCAAGUUUUUAGUGGCAAGAUCAAUUGGCAAUAAAUGCAUCAAGAGAAGGGAGAAGUUAUAGCACCUAAUAUGUCCUGGUUUAUAGUUUUCCUUUGAAGCCAAUUUGAAAAUGUCUUGAAGAGCUUCAGGGUUUCUCUGCUAUCUGUGGAAUACAUGCAGCAUGCCAAUCCGUUUUCACAGGAAAUUCAACAUAUUGCUAAUCUUGCAUUGCAUUUUCUGUUCUCCUUUCUUAUGGACUUAUAUAAUAAGAAGGUUUUAAAUAUUGGACAGAUCAAACACGGAGCACGCUCCUAGACUGGCCUAAGCGGUACCAUAUUAUCAAUGGGAUUGCUAGUGGACUCCUUUAUCUUCACCAAGAUUCAAGGCUAAGAAUAAUCCAUAGAGAUCUAAAAGCUGGGAAUAUUUUAUUGGAUCAUGAAAUAAAUCCAAAAAUUUCAGACUUUGGC
rnacentral:misc_RNA from 1 species